UGGGAACGUGCCCUUCAGUUCGGAACAACCCAGGGAAACUUGGGCUAAUACCGGAUACGCCCUUACGGGGAAAGAUUUAUCGCUGAAGAAGCGGCCCGCGUCUGAUUAGCUAGUUGGUGAGGUAACGGCUCACCAAGGCGACGAUCAGUAGCUGGUCUGAGAGGAUGAUCAGCCUCAUUGGGACUGAGACACGGCCCAGACUCCUACGGGAGGCAG
rnacentral:rRNA from 1 species